UCCGGUUGAUCCUGCCGGACCUGACUGCUAUCGGAUUGAUACUAAGCCAUGCGAGUCAUUGUAGCAAUACAAGGCAUACGGCUCAGUAACGCGUAGUCAACCUAACCUAUGGGCGGGAAUAACCUCGGGAAACUGAGAAUAAUGCCCGAUAGAACACUAUACCUGGAAUGGUUUGUGUUCCAAAUGAUUUAUCGCCGUAGGAUGGGACUGCGGCCUAUCAGUUUGUUGGUGAGGUAAUGGCCCACCAAGACUAUUACAGGUACGGGCUCUGAGAGGAGUAGCCCGGAGAUGGGUACUGAGACACGGACCCAGGCCCUAUGGGGCGCAGCAGGCGAGAAAACUUUGCAAUGUGCGAAAGCACGACAAGGUUAAUCCGAGUGGUUUCUGCUAAAGGAACCUUUUGUUAGUCCUAGAAACACUAACGAAUAAGGGGUGGGCAAGUUCUGGUGUCAGCCGCCGCGGUAAAACCAGCACCUCAAGUGGUCAGGAUGAUUAUUGGGCCUAAAGCAUCCGUAGCCGGCUCUGUAAGUUUUCGGUUAAAUCUGUAC
rnacentral:rRNA from 1 species